GUCAAGAUGGCCGAGUGGUUUAUGGCGCCAGUUACAAGCACCCGGUACUCUUAAUGAGGGCGUGGGUUCAAAUCCCCACUCUUGACA
rnacentral:tRNA from 1 species